rnacentral:rRNA from 1 species
GACGAACGCUGGCGGCGUGCUUAACACAUGCAAGUCGAACGGAAAGGCCCUGCUUGCCGGGUACUCGAGUGGCGAACGGGUGAGUAACACGUGGGUGAUCUGCCCUUCACUUCGGGAUAAGCCUGGGAAACUGGGUCUAAUACCGGAGAGGAGCCAUUUUUAGUGUGAUGGUUGGAAAGUUUUUUCGGUGUAGGAUGAGCUCGCGGCCUAUCAGCUUGUUGGUGGGGUAAUGGCCUACCAAGGCGGCGACGGGUAGCCGGCCUGAGAGGGUGGACGGCCACAUUGGGACUGAGAGACGGCCCAGACUCCUACGGGAGGCAGCAGUGGGGAAUAUUGCACAAUGGGCGCAAGCCUGAUGCAGCGACGCCGCGGGGGGGAUGACGGCCUUCGGGUUGGAAACUCAUUUCGCUAGGGACGAAGCUUUUUGUGACGGUACCUAGAUAAGAAGCACCGGCUAACUACGUG